rnacentral:rRNA from 1 species
AGUGAACGCUGGCGGUAGACCUAACACAUGCAAGUCGAACGGCAGCACAGUAAGAGCUUGCUCUUACGGGUGGCGAGUGGCGGACGGGUGAGGAAUACAUCGGAAUCUACUUUUUCGUGGGGGAUAACGUAGGGAAACUUACGCUAAUACCGCAUACGACCUACGGGUGAAAGCAGGGGAUCUUUGGACCUUGCGCGAUUGAAUGAGCCGAUGUCGGAUUAGCUAGUUGGCGGGGUAAAGGCCCACCAAGGCGACGAUCCGUAGCUGGUCUGAGAGGAUGAUCGGCCACAAUGGAAAGGAGACACGGACCAGGCCCCAGGGGGAGGAAGCAGGGGGGAAUUGUGGAGAAGGGGGGAAACUCUCACCAAGAAAGACCGCGGGAGGAAAAAAGGCCUUGGGGUUGAAAACCCCUUUUGUGGGAAAAAAAAAGCAGGAGGUUAAUACCCGGGUGUUCUGGGGGGACCAAAAGAAUAAAACCCGGCUAACUUGG